ACAUGACCAAAGAGUUGAGCUUUUUGAUUAAGUCAUUGGUUUAAUUGUUUAAAUCUAAUCUAUUAAUGUUGUUAAUUAUUCAGUAAUUAUGUGUUUUCUGUUUUCUUAGUUUGUCACCGUUCAAGUGUUUUUCAAGUUCGUUUGGCUGUUCGUUAAAUGCUGUCUCUUGAAAUGUGUAAAACAAUUAUUUACUUGUUGAACUGCUAUCACAAAUAAAAUGUCUGACUAUUUGUGAUUAUGGAUAUUUAAUGGAUAAAUGGUAAAAUAAUGGACCAAAAAAGAUUUUCUCUUGAAUUUCUUUUUCUAAUCUCAUCUGAGAAAAGGCAGACACUUUAGAAUGUUUUGAUCGAUUUUUCAUCCUAUGUUUUACAAUGUUAUUUAUGUUGAUUUAUUCACCAUAUAAUCAUCAUCUUUCAUCGUUACCUGUCAACAAGAGUAUGUAAACUUUACCAAUCAAUCAUUUCCAGUUCCUUAAUUGUUUAUCAAUUAUUUAUUCGCCAUUAAAGAUGGAUACUGCAGUAAGCAAGAAAAAACAGAAAUGGAUAAGAACAUGAAGAAGAAGAAGAAAACAAAGGAAAAAGAUCAACAAUUAUUAUCAAAUUUUAUCACUUUUUUAAUACCAUCUUCUAAUCUGGUAAUGAUCAUAGGUAUGGACGUGAAAGACCAAGACACUGACGAAUAAGAAAACAAAGAAGAGGACGAAGAGUACGAUUGCACCGACGAGGAAAAAGAAAUCCCUAAAUCAACUAAACUCUAUUAACUACGAAACUAUUCUGAGCAAUCUGUUGAUGCGGAUGGUAUACAAUGUUAAUUACAGAAGAAAGAAACAAUUUCUUCAGCUAAAUUGAUUCCUUAUAUUCACACAAUCUAUCUGAUCCUUGGUGACCUUUUCCCAUAAUUUGUGCCGUUGAAUGUUAUCUGUUUCAUUGGAUCAACUGAAUCCUGGGACAAAUAGUUGGAUACAAGAUAAACAAGAUUAUAUUCAAGUUGAAUGAAGGAAGGAAAAGAAAGCAAAAAUUAAAUCUCGUUAAUCUUUACCUUUUUCAUUAGUCAGUCUUUUUUAGCAACUUUUAUCAUACAAAUCUUAUUCAAUGUGAAUCUGUUACCAGGCCUAAGCUCAACUCGUGGAUAACAAACAGCAUCAGAACAACAUUCAGCAAAUGAAUCGAUUGCUUACCAUGAAAACCCCCAUUUCAUGAAAUUCAAUCUUAUUUAUUAUUUAGAUGAAAAAAAGCAUAAAUAGACUGAAAAUUAAUAUGAAACUAAAGAGCAAAUCUCAAGUUUUCAUAUAAAUAUUAGAUUUUCCAAGCUAUUCAAUGUUCAAAUAAUUAACUUAUUAUCAACUCUUGUAACUGGAUGAUUAUAAAGGUGAAUGUCAAGCUUAUGUAAAUUGAAUUUGCUCCUUUUUUAUUCAACAAUGGAUUCAAUUGUCAUCAAAAUGGUUGAUAAAUUUAAUGUGAAUUGAAAAUUUAACAUAAACAUUCUCAGGUAACAUUCAA